UACAGAGGGGGCAAGCGUUAUUCGGAAUUAUUGGGCGUAAAGGGCGCGUAGGCGGCUUGGCAAGUGGAUGGUGAAAUCCCUCGGCUUAACCGAGGAACUGCCGUCCAAACUGCUUCGCUUGAGACCGGGAGAGGUGAGUGGAAUUCCCAGUGUAGCGGUGGAAUGCGUAGAGAUCCGGAAGAACACCGGUGGCGAAGGCGGUCUGCUGGGCAGUAGCUGACACUGAGGCGCGACAGCGUGGGGAGCAAACAGG
rnacentral:rRNA from 1 species